rnacentral:pre_miRNA from 7 species
GACCGCCAGUGAAAAUCGAUUUUCACUGGCGGUUUUAUUACACCGACCGCCAGUGAAAAUCGAUUUUCACUGGCGGUC